GUGAAGGUCAGGACAGUGACCAACCUCAAGGGCAGUAAAGGUCAGUUAACCUUCAGUGGUCGUACAGGAGAGAUGUGUUGCUCCUCCUCCUGCCGCCCCGCCGGCUUUGCCGCUUCCUCAGCCUCUUCAUACACCUAAAUAACGUGUAAUUGCUGUGCCUGGCUGUGUCUGCUGCAACAUUGAUCAACAACGGCAAUAUUGACCAGUCUGAGGGGUGGAGACAACCACACUAGUAAAUGGUCUGACUCAACAUUUAGUGUUAUACCUGGAGAGGGUUACUCCAGGUAUGUGGAGAUGCAGCAGCUGGAGACGUUGUCAGAGCUGCUGUGUGGUGAAGACCGUGUGGUGGGCAGCUGCUGUGUGGUGAAGACCGUGUGGUGGGCAGCUGCUGUGUGGUGAAGACCGUGUGGUGGGCAGCUGCUGUGUGGUGAAGACCGUGUGGUGGGCAGCUGCUGUGUGGUGAAGACCGUGUGGUGGGCAGCUGCUGUGUGGUGAAGACCGUGUGGUGGGCAGCUGCUGUGUGGUGAAGACCGUGUGGUGGGCAGCUGCUGUGUGGUGAAGACCGUGUGGUGGGCAGCUGCUGUGUGGUGAAGACCGUGUGGUGGGCAGCUGCUGUGUGGUGAAGACCGUGCUGUGGGCAGCUGCUGUGUGGUGAAGACCGUGCUGUGGGCAGCUGCAAGUCUUCCCAGAGAUCACCAGCAGCAACGCUCCAAAACAAUGUCUACAAAGAUAAGUGUACAUUACUAGAGUAUUCAUGAACUGCACUGAACAAUAGUUUGAGGUUUUACUAUGUAUUUAGAAUGCUUCCUUUAACAUUUUGUAGAAUUGGAAAAGUAUUUUCAAAGCUGAUCUAUCAAAAAUUACCAUGAAAUUGAAAUAAUCCAAGUUUUUUUUAAAUUACCACAAGUUACUGGAACUGGAGGAGCUGGAUGUGUUGAUUAUGGUGGAUGGCAGAGGAGUGACUAGUGGCGCCACUAUUCUUGACCUCAUGGCUAAAUGGCGCCGUUGACCUGGGGGAGGGGGUGAUGACGUCAGCGGUUGUUUGUGGGGAGGGGGAAGGUCGUUAAGGGAAGGGUCGGGGGUUGGCUGCUUGUGGAGGGGUAUUUGGGAGUGAGUAGUUAGUUGUUACUAGUGGGAGGGUGAUGGGGAAGGGGUAGGGGGGAUGGCUGUCACUUGGGACAACACAAUGUUGUUAGGGUAUUAACGUGGCUUGAACCUAGAUAUUUGAAACGCCCUGGACACUAGUCCAAAGACACUCGUUUGCCACAUAUUCGUAAUUCUAAUAAACAAUAUCCAUGGACUUGUUGAAAACCGUCUCCUUGAUGUUGGGCUGACGUAUUUGACAUCUUUUUUGGGUUUAGUGCUUAGUUUUGAUAGUAGUGGUAGUAAUGUAGUUUAACCUGGUAGACGUCAUGACCUGCCUUUACUGCCUCAUGCAGGAUGAUACAGUUUAAUAGUGAGUUUGCAGUCCUGAAUUCCCAGAAGACAAAUGUAAUAAUAUUAAACAUUCAUGGAACUGUAUUAUCCUCCAUAACACACAAGCUACAGAAAUUCCUAGUAUGUUAAAAAAUCAAAAGAAAUGACCGAUAUGUUGAAAGAAACGUACAUAUUCAUCCGUACCACUAAUGUAGAAAAUCUAAAAAAUAAUAGUUCAAGC